rnacentral:rRNA from 1 species
AGAACUUAGCAGAGAUGCUUUGGUGCCUUCGGGAACUCUGAGACAGGUGCUGCAUGGCUGUCGUCAGCUCGUGUUGUGAAAUGUUGGGUUAAGUCCCGCAACGAGCGCAACCCUUAUCCUUUGUUGCCAGCGGUCCGGCCGGGAACUCAAAGGAGACUGCCAGUGAUAAACUGGAGGAAGGUGGGGAUGACGUCAAGUCAUCAUGGCCCUUACGAGUAGGGCUACACACGUGCUACAAUGGCGCAUACAAAGAGAAGCGACCUCGCGAGAGCAAGCGGACCUCAUAAAGUGCGUCGUAGUCCGGAUUGGAGUCUGCAACUCGACUCCAUGAAGUCGGAAUCGCUAGUAAUCGUGGAUCAGAAUGCCACGGUGAAUACGUUCCCGGGCCUUGUACGCACCGCCCGUCACACCAUGGGAGUGGGUUGCAAAAGAAGUAGGUAGCUUAACCUUCGGGAGGGCGCUUACCACUUUGUGAUUCAUGACUGGGGUGAAGUCGUAACAAGGUAAGCGUAGUGCU